CUUGGUCAUUUAGAGGAAGUAAAAGUCGUAACAAGGUCUCCGUAGGUGAACCUGCGGAGGGAUCAUUACUGAAUGGCUUCGGCCUUCAACCUUGUAAACCCGUGGAAGCAAUCCGUGCUUCGGCGCUCCGGCGCCGCAUUUAUGCAGCAUAGCAUUUGUCUGAAUCAAAAACAAGAAUUAAAACUUUCAACAAAGGAUCUCUUGGCUCUCGCAUCGAUGAAGAACGCAGCGAAGCGCGAAAUGUAGUGUGAAUCGCAGAACAUUGUGAAUCAUCGAAUCUUUGAACGCACAUUGCGCCUCCGGUCAUUCGGAGGCAUGCCUGUCUGAGCGUCAUUUAAACCAUAGCCCCGUAAGGGUCCGUCUUGGGCAUCGCCCGUGGGCGUAGCCUCGAAGCCAUCGGUCUAAAGAGCGGAUGAGAUCCAUUAGGACUGACCGUUCUGCGACCUUAAAUCUCUGACUUGACCUCAGAUCAGGUAGGGCUACCGCCUGAACUUAAGCAUAUCAAUAAGGCGAGGAACAGAAACCAACAGGGAUUCCCCUAGUAGUGGCGAAUGAAGCGGGAAAAGCUCAAGUUUGAAAUCCGAGGUCUUCCUCGGAGUUGUAAGCUGAAGAGGCGUCGACCGACUCGGUCCGGGCCCAAUUUCCUUGGAACAGGAGGUCAUGGAGGGUGAGAACCCCGUCCGUGGCUCGGGUGCCGCAGUCCUUGUGUCGUGUCCUCGAAGAGUCGGGUUGUUUGGGAAUGCAGCUCAAAAUGGGUGGUAAAUUUCAUCUAAAGCUAAAUAUUGGCGAGAGACCGAUAGCAAACAAGUAGAGUGAUCGAAAGAUGAAAAGUACUUUGAAAAGAGAGUGAAACAGUACGUGAAAUUGUUGAAAGGGAAGCGUUUGGCAUCAGCCCAUGGCGCCCGUCGAUCAUCCGGGUUUUUGCCCGGUGCACUUGACGGGCGUCGGGCCAGCGUCGACUUUGCCCGCCGGAGAAAGGCCUUGGGGAUGUGGCUCCCUCGGGAGCGUUAUAACCCUCGGCGUCAUGCGGCGUGGUGGGGUCGAGGUCCGCGGUUUAUCCUAGGACGCUGGCGUAAUGGUUCCAAGCGACCCGUCUUGAAACACGGACC
rnacentral:rRNA from 1 species